rnacentral:tRNA from 1 species
AAAAAGGUAAGCUAAAUAAAGCUAAUGGGCUCAUAACCCAUUAAUGGAGAUAUAAAUUCCCCUUUUUA